rnacentral:rRNA from 1 species
AUUGAACGCUGGCGGCAGGCCUAACACAUGCAAGUCGAACGGCAGCACAGAAGAGCUUGCUCUUUGGGUGGCGAGUGGCGGACGGGUGAGUAAUGUCUGGGAAACUGCCCGAUGGAGGGGGAUAACUACUGGAAACGGUAGCUAAUACCGCAUAACGUCGCGAGACCAAAGUGGGGGACCUUCGGGCCUCACACCAUCGGAUGUGCCCAGAUGGGAUUGGCUAGUAGGUGGGGUAAUGGCUCACCUAGGCGACGAUCCCUAGCUGGUCUGAGAGGACGACCAGCCACACUGGAACUGAGACACGGUCCAGACACCUACGGGUGGCAGCAGUCGAGAAUUUUUCUCAAUGGGGGAAACCCUGAAGGAGCGACGCCGCGUGGAGGAUGAAGGUCCUCUGGAUUGUAAACUUCUUUUAUAAGGGACGAAAAAAGGGUAUUCUUACUCACUUGACGGUACCUUAUGAAUAAGCACCGGCUAACUCCGUGCCAGCCGCCGCAGUAA